GGCCGGGUCCCAAACGGCGAGAGUUUCGUGAACCGGGUCAGGUCCGAAAGGAAGCAGCCCUAAGCGACGCUUCUCGGGUGUUCUGGGAUAGCUCGACCGGA
rnacentral:SRP_RNA from 1 species